rnacentral:lncRNA from 1 species
CAGCACGUACCGUCGAUAACCUCAAAAUCCGUACGUUUGUGAUCAGUCUUACGCGCGCAGACUACCCAAGCAAGGGUCUACAGCAACAUCCCGUCAAGGAUGCCCCGGGUUCCGACCAUUCCAAGUAUCUCAAGUAUCCGUAUCCAAGUUCCAAAUCCGGGAAGGUACAUAGGGUAGUGCUUAUAGCACUCCAAACUGACAUUCUAUACUCACCACUUUCCACAAUCUCAUUUCAACAACCCAAAUACCUCACACAUAGCCAAAUAUAUAUAGAAAUCCUCAAAAUCCAUAUAUUCAUACUCAAGAUACUCAAAUAUGUCAAA